rnacentral:misc_RNA from 1 species
UUGAUUUGAAUCGUUGCCUUCUGUGCUGGCUUCGGCAAGUGCACGCUGGUGACUUUCAUCCAACACCGUUGUGAACCUUUGGCCUCUUAACUAGCUUCGGCUGGGAGAGGAUUUUACACACAAACUCGAAUGUAAUGAAAAACUCUGGUUGUGCGCAAGCACUAAUAUA